ACAUACUCGUACAUAGCGCGGAGUCCAGUUUUUUUCAAAUGAAAAAAAAGGUUAGACCAUUAUCUCCAUUCCCCGUCAAUAUUGAAAAAAUAAGGUAGAUAUACAUAUAAUUUUGUGUUGCGAAUAUCAAACUAAAAAGAAUUUAAAAUAUUUUGUAUAACUGAAUUAUUACUGUCGUAGAUUAAAACUGUUUAUGCAUUUUAACUUGGCAACAAUGUUGGACGUAAAGUAAAUAGCAAAAUGAAAUAUAUAUUCAUAUGUGGAUGUAAAAUAGUAAUGUAUAUAUACGAGAUGUAUAUAAGUGGACUCAUAUUAGAUAGUAAUAUAAAAAGAAGCAAAAUAAUCUGAAAA
rnacentral:lncRNA from 1 species